rnacentral:misc_RNA from 1 species
GAUGAAGAACGUAGCGAAAUGCGAUAAGUAAUGUGAAUUGCAGAAUUCAGUGAAUCAUCGAAUCUUUGAACGCACAUUGCGCCCCCUGGUAUUCCGGGGGGCAUGCCUGUCCGAGCGUCAUUACUGCCCUCAAGCGCGGCUUGUGUGUUGGGCCCUCGUCCCCCCCGGGGGACGUGCCCGAAAGGCAGUGGCGGCGCCGUGCCCGGACCUCGAGCGUAUGGGGCUUUGUCACCCGCUCUGGAGACCCGGCCGGCGGCCGUCGGACCACCCCAACCUUUUUAACCGGUUGACCUCGGAUCAGGCAGGGAUACCCGCUGAACUUAAGCAUAUCAAUAGCGGAGGA